rnacentral:rRNA from 1 species
AGUGAACGCUGGCGGUAGGCCUAACACAUGCAGGUCGAACGGCAGCACAGGAGAGCUUGCUCUCUGGGUGGCGAGUGGCGGACGGGUGAGGAAUACAUCGGAAUCUACUUUUUCGUGGGGGAUAACGUAGGGAAACUUACGCUAAUACCGCAUACGACCUACGGGUGAAAGCAGGGGACCUUCGGGCCUUGCGCGAUUGAAUGAGCCGAUGUCGGAUUAGCUAGUUGGCGGGGUAAAGGCCCACCAAGGCGACGAUCCGUAGCUGGUCUGAGAGGAUGAUCAGCCCCACUGGAACUGAGACACGGUCCAGACUCCUACGGGAGGCAGCAGUGGGGAAUAUUGGACAAUGGGCGCAAGCCUGAUUCAGCCAUACCGCGUGGGUGAAGAAGGCCUUCGGGUUGUAAAGCCCUUUUGUUGGGAAAGAAAUCCAGCUGGCUAAUACCCGGUUGGGAUGACGGUACCCAAAGAAUAAGCACCGGCUAACUUCGUGCCAGCAGCCGCCGUAA